UACGGAGGGUGCAAGCGUUGUCCGGAUUUAUUGGGUUUAAAGGGUGCGUAGGCGGCUAUUUAAGUCAGCGGUGAAAGACAUCGGCUCAACCGAUGCAGUGCCAUUGAUACUGGAUAGCUUGAGUGUUGGAGGGGUACAUGGAAUUGAUGGUGUAGCGGUGAAAUGCAUAGAUACCAUCAGGAACACCGAUAGCGAAGGCAUUGUACUGGCCAACAACUGACGCUGAGGCACGAAAGCAUGGGGAGCGAACAGG
rnacentral:rRNA from 1 species